rnacentral:rRNA from 1 species
UACGAAGGGGGCUAGCGUUGCUCGGAAUUACUGGGCGUAAAGAGCGCGUAGGCGGUCAUACAAGUCAGGGGUGAAAUCCCACAGCUUAACUGUGGAACUGCCUUUGAAACUGUAUGGCUGGAGUGUGUGAGGGGAUAGCGGAAUUCCUAAUGUAGAGGUGAAAUUCGUAGAUAUUAGGAGGAACACCGGUGGCGAAGGCGGCUAUCUGGCACACAACUGACGCUGAGGCGCGAAAGCGUGGGGAUCAAACAGG